rnacentral:rRNA from 1 species
UCUACGGGUGGCUGCAGUGGGGAAUAUUGGACAAUGGGCGAAAGCCUGAUCCAGCCAUGCCGCGUGUGUGAAGAAGGCCUUCGGGUUGUAAAGCACUUUCAGUGGGGAAGAAAGCCUUGGGGCUAAUACCCUCGAGGAAGGACAUCACCCACAGAAGAAGCACCGGCUAACUCCGUGCCAGCAGCCGCGGUAAUACGGAGGGUGCGAGCGUUAAUCGGAAUUACUGGGCGUAAAGCGCGCGUAGGCGGUCUGAUAAGCCGGUUGUGAAAGCCCCGGGCUCAACCUGGGAACGGCAUCCGGAACUGUCAGGCUAGAGUGCAGGAGAGGAAGGUAGAAUUCCCGGUGUAGCGGUGAAAUGCGUAGAGAUCGGGAGGAAUACCAGUGGCGAAGGCGGCCUUCUGGACUGACACUGACGCUGAGGUGCGAAAGCGUGGGUAGCAAACAGGAUUAGAUACCCCGGUAGUC